rnacentral:lncRNA from 1 species
UUUUUUCUUUCUUCUCCCUCUCUUCUUCCUUCUCUUCUGCUAUGUUUUUUAACGCCUAUCAGAUAGGCAUCACUCCCUAUAUACUAAUUUUGUAUUUAUACACGGGCGCAUACUAGACUCAAAAAUUUUGUACAUGUGGUGUUGCCUAUGUAAAUGACACUAUUAAAUAAAAUAAUUUUUUUAAAAAAAAUAAAAAAUUAAAUUUUAUUAAAAAAAAUGGUGAUGCCGCCUAUGAGAAAGACACCACUCCUACCG